rnacentral:rRNA from 1 species
CAGCAGCCACGGGAAUAUGUAGGUGGCAAGCGUUGUCCGGAAUUAUUGGGCGUAAAGGGCUCGCAGGCGGUUUCUUAAGUCUGAUGUGAAAGCCCCCGGCUCAACCGGGGAGGGUCAUUGGAAACUGGGAAACUUGAGUGCAGAAGAGGAGAGUGGAAUUCCACGUGUAGCGGUGAAAUGCGUAGAGAUGUGGAGGAACACCAGUGGCGAAGGCGACUCUCUGGUCUGUAACUGACGCUGAGGAGCGAAAGCGUGGGGAGCGAACAGGAUUAGAGACCCCUGUAGUCCCUGUCUCUUAUAC